rnacentral:rRNA from 1 species
CAUGCAGUCGAACGAAGUAGCAAUACUUAGUGGCAGACGGGUGAGUAACAUGUGGGUAUCUACCCUUUGGCCUGGAAUAACACGAGGAAACUUGUGCUAAUACCGGAUAAGUCUUUACAGAGAAAGCUUUAUGCACCAUUGGAUGAGCCCGCACUUGAUUAGUUUGUUGGUAGGGUAAUGGCCUACCAAGACUAUGAUCAAUAGCUGAUUUGAGAGGAUGAUCAGCCACAUUGGGACUGAGACACGGCCCAAACUCCUACGGGAGGCAGCAGUGGGGAAUCUUGCACAAUGGAGGAAACUCUGAUGCAGCGAUGCCGCGUGAGUGAAGAAGGCCCUUGGGUUGUAAAGCUCUUUCGUCGGGGAAGAAAAUGACUGUACCCGAAUAAGAAGGUCCGGCUAACUUCGUGCCAGCAGCCGCGGUAAUACGAAGGGACCUAGCGUAGUUCGGAAUUACUGGGCUUAAAGAGUUCGUAGGUGGUUGAAAAAGUUAGUGGUGAAAUCCCAGAGCUUAACUCUGGAACUGCCAUUAAAACUUUUCAGCUAGAGUAUGAUAGAGGAAAGCAGAAUUUCUAGUGUAGAGGUGAAAUUCGUAGAUAUUAGAAAGAAUACCAAUUGCGAAGGCAGCUUUCUGGAUCAUUACUGACACUGAGGAACGAAAGCAUGGGUAGCGAAGAGGAUUAGAUACCCUCGUAGUCCAUGCCGUAAACGAUGUGUGUUAGACGUUGGAAAUAUAUUUUUCAGUGUCGCAGCAAAAGCGUUAAGCACACCGCCUGGGGAGUACGACCGCAAGGUUAAAACUCAAAUGAAUUGACGGGGACCCGCACAAGUAGUGGAGCAUGUGGUUUAAUUCGAAGAUACGCGCAGAACCUUACCAACACUUGACAUGUUCGUCGCGACUCGAGAGAUUCGAGUUUUCGGUUCGGCCGGACGAAACACAGUGCUGCAUGGCUGUCGUCAGCUCGUGUCGUGAGAUGU